UAGUGUCCACUUUGUUUUAUCUGGAAAGAGUUGGGUAAGGAGGCGGGGGACAACGCUGGUGUCUACACAGCCAAGAGGGAACAUUCACACACAGAGAAUGACGGGGGUCCCUUACCACACGGGAGUGUCCUCUUCAUAUUAAAAUAUGGAAUGCUUUUCUUCAAAUAUCCACCUUUUUUUGGAGAGGGAGGUGGGGAGCGGAUGCUCAAAGGUGGCGGCGACGGUUCUCUUGGGCUGGACGCGGUGAGGGGAGCAAGCCGAUUUUCCCAGCAAGAUCUCCAUGUAC
ensembl:antisense